UACGGGGGGGGCAAGCGUUGUUCGGAAUUACUGGGCGUAAAGGGCUUGUAGGUGGCCAACUAAGUCAGACGUGAAAUCCCUCGGCUUAACCGGGGAACUGCGUCUGAUACUGGAGGGCUUGAGUAUGGGAGAGGGAUGUAGAAUUCCAGGUGUAGCGGUGAAAUGCGUAGAUAUCUGGAGGAAUACCGGUGGCGAAGGCGGCAUCCUGGACCAUUACUGACGCUGAGGCGCGAAAGCUAGGGGAGCAAACGGG
rnacentral:rRNA from 1 species